UACGAAGGGGGCUAGCGUUGCUCGGAAUCACUGGGCUUAAAGGGCGCGUAGGCGGGCUGCCAAGUUUGGGGUGAAAUCCCCCGGCUCAACCGGGGAAGUGCCUUGAAUACUGGCGGUCUGGAGGGAGGUAGGGGCGUGCGGAACUGUGGGUGGAGCGGUGAAAUGCGUUGAUAUCCGCAGGAACUCCGGUGGCGAAGGCGGCACGCUGGACCUUUUCUGACGCUGAGGCGCGAAAGCCAGGGGAGCGAACGGG
rnacentral:rRNA from 1 species